UGGGUACUUUACCUAACACUCCUCAUACAGUAUAAAAGAACAAUACAUGCCCAUUCCUGGCACUAAGCUCUGGGUAUCCCACAGAGGUUAUGUGCACAGAACGAAUCCUGGUGCUGACCUUCCUCUGUGUGUGGGGCAGCGAGGUGACAGCUAUAGAUGGUUCUGAUGGGUACAAGACUCCGGCUUUCUGUAAAGGGCAUAAGUGCCCCAGAUAUCGAGUGGUGGAGAAACAUGAAGUAAGUGGGUUCUCAUCAUUUUAACACAUGGGUUUUCUGUUUGGUUUAACCUGUGGGUAUUAUAGGAGUAUUUUUGUUUUUACCUUUAUCAGGAUAGUAUAUGUCAUUUUGCUUGAAACCUUACUAGACUGAUAUGCCUGUUUCUAGCCAAAUUUACUUUCUAGCUUUAAUUAGCAGAUGGGAAUCCCAAUUCUGACAAUUAUUAAAUUCUGCUAUUUAUGACUGGAUUCAAACUAUUUCAGCUCUGCUUGAGACACUGGAAAACCAUUGUUCUAGAAAAAGUAAAGGAAAAAUCAUGUGUUUAUUACUAAAGCAAUGUGGUUUCCUUCUGUGUAGGGGCAGUGUGUCGGAGGGUGACAGUGUGUAGGGCAUUGUGUGGGGGUGACAGCAUGUGUGGGGAGGAUGACAGUGUGUACAGAAGGUGACAAUGUGUGGACCAGUGUGUUGGAAGGUGAUAGUGCAGGGGCCAGUGUGGGGAGAGUAACAGUGUGGGGCAUUGCGUAGGAGGGUGGCAGAGUGAACAGCAUUGCGUGGGAGGGUGGCAGAGUGAACGGCAUUGUGUGGGUGGGUGACAGUGUGUUUAGGGGGCAGUGAAUGGGAAGGUGGCUGUGGGGAGGGGGAGUUAUAUGCGGGCGCAGGAAACUUCACUCAAAUAAUAUUUCUCUCCAUGCAACAAAAGGAGAUCUCUUUCUGUGAUCCCUCAACAUUCAAAGCUAGGGUAAUUCAGUGUGUAUCACGUUGCACUUGGGCGCGACCUCCUCUAUCCCAGCCUCCUAUGCAAUGCCCAUAGUCUCUGCCUUUAACUGCUCUACACACCAAUAAGGAGGCAAGUGCUAUAAAGCACAAGCAGCAAGCCAAGAGUGACAGCGCUCAGAUGACAAUUAAACUCAAGGCAUGCCAAUAAUGGGGACAGUGUGCAACAGCCCAGGAUCAGCCCUGGCUGGACAGGGGAUACAAAGCAGUCCUGGAAAAAAAAUACAUACAUAUAUAUAUAUAAAGUAUUUACUAUCUUCUUAUUGUCCUGAUGAAUGGCCCUAUAGUGUUGGUCUCUUUUUUCUUUUGUAUUGGACGACCCAGAAUGCUGGUAUUGAUUGAAAAGUGUGUAUGUAUAUAUAUUAUAUAUUAUAAUUCAAAAUAUUGGGUCGUUUAUGUUAAAAAGUUUAAUUAUACAGUAAGCAUACUCACAUGCAGACACAGACAAUCUGACUGACUGACUCAUUGAUACAGCUGAUUGAUACACUGGCUCACAGACAGACAAUCUCAUUGAUACACAUGCUCACUGCAGACAAGCUCUCUGACACACACACACACACAUGCUCACAAGCUCACUCACUAGCAGACACACACACACACACACACACACACUCACUGUCAUGGGCUGAAGCCUACCUGUCACAGAAGGCUGGGCGAGACAAGGAGGUGAUGUCUCAAUUUUCUGACCUCUUCCUUCCAGGCCAGCAGCGUGUGUGGGGACAGAGCUUGACCACGGAGACGUGACUUGAAUUUAUGAGGCGGGACUUGAAUCCAUGAGAUGGGGCUUGAGUCCAGGGACUCAAUAUAGAGGCACCAAUUGCUGAAGAUUCAGGAGGGAAACUCUGAACUCCCUCCAGCCCCUGGAAGCCUAAAUGGGCUGCACCAGCACCUCCCUCCAGCCCCAUCCCUUCUCUCCCUUAUUUCCCUAGGACUAACAGUUUAAGGGAAAAUUAUUUAAAUUACACAUCAGGGCUUCCUGCCAGCCCCAGAUGCUGCGGCCCACCAGGAAAUUCCCCAGUAUCCCGGUGGGCCAGUUGGGCCCUGGCCCUGUGGAAGUAAUUUCUGCCAUUAUAGAAAUGUUUUUACAGGCCACCAGCAGGUAGACGUACCAUGGAUAGGGAACUAUUGUUUCAUAGUUACAUAGCUAAGUAGGCAGAAAAGAGACACGUGUCCAUCAAGUUCAGCAUUUCUCAUAUCUGUUUUUGCAAACACAAUUUAAAACACUUCCAAUGUUGCUUCAAACUAGAAAAAAAUAAUUCAUCAAAUUUAUCCUUGAAGCUAUUACUCAACAAAUUUAAUAAUAAGUGCUAUUUGACUGCUGGUAGAGAUAGCAGUCAGGGGGCAAAUCAUUAAAAUCCCUUGACAGUUAUGUAGCAGCUGGCUAGCACUUUAUAGAAAAGAAAAAUGCAUAUUGGGGUAAUAUGACACUCUUCUUACUAUAGGGAAGUGUAAUACCUCUUUUAUCCCCUCACCUGCCAUGCUACAGGCAGGAACAGCCUGCUUCUUUCUAAAAGGGUUACUCCAACUACCUCAGUGAUUUGAAGUGGUCAUGGUGGUAGGAAUCUGUAUGUGCAAUGCUUCUGCUUCAAACACUGCACAUACAGAAAAAUCUGCACUUGUGUGCCACGGGCUUGUUACACACUUGGCACACAUGACUUUGGCCACCCGGAACUCUGGUCAGAAUAAUAUAAAUUCUGUUCAUAAAAUAUGCACAUCGUCAGCUCACACUGCACACUAGCAAUAGACAUAUUGAGCUCUUCCCAAUCUCCCUCUCUACCUCCCUCUCAAAAUGGUUGUAGCCCUUUAAGCUAGUGAUUUAAGCAAGUUAAUUAAAGGAGCACUAUAGUGCCAGGAAAACAAACUUGUUUCCUGACACUAUAGGAUCAUUAGGUCCCCCCACCCUCAGAGCCCCCUCCAGCUGAGCUGAAGGGGUUAAAUAAUGACAGGAGUACAUUAUAAUGCUCGCUCACUGCUUUUUUAGGGUGUUUACAGAGGCAUGCAUGUCCACCUCCCUAGAUUUUUUUAAAAGGCUCCACCAGCAGCCAACUGACAUGUGCCCCCAUUGCAUAUUAGUUGCCCCCAAUACAGACAAAGAUAUGUCUUACCAUGUAUUACUUUAGAGCCCUUAUUGCUCAUUGGUGUGGGAAUGAGGGGGGAACAGUGACAGGUCCCCUUCAGAUAAUUUACUGACCCCAUCCACAUGGGAUGGGACUGAGUAGUAAUUGUUUUAGUCUGGUCUGAUAUGCAAAUGAAAUUCAGACUCAAUCAGAGCCGGUUACACAAAAUAUGGACAUUGUUAAAUACAAAUACAAGAGUUGUUAACAGCAAUAUUGUAUCUUUAUAGUUAUUGUAAAUAUACUUUACUGUAGUAACUAUGAUCUAUGUUGGUUGAUGAAUUUUAAUGUGCUGCUUACUAAUGUGGAAAGCUGAUAAUAUCUCUUCUCAUAUAAUGAAGAAAGUGAGCAGGAUAUACUGACUGAAAGAAUCACAUUAGUUAGGAUUGUCUAUGAUGGUGGUCACUGAUCUUACUAUAGUAAUAAUUACCUGUAUAACCCUGUCUGGUUUUCAGAAAUUCGAGGUACGAGAGUAUGAGCCAACAAACUGGGCCUCAACCAUUGUAGACUUGUCAGGUGACGUAAUAAAUCAAAGUGAUCGCCUCUACAACUACAUCAGUGGAGCAAAUGAAAAAGGUUUGUCAUUUACUGUGUUUUAUACUGAAUAUUAUUUGUUAACCACCUAUAAUAUAACUCUUACCUGAAAAGGACUUUAAGUAGGUCUUGUCAAUUUUCUUACAUAUCAGCAUUAUAUAUUUUUAUUUUAACUUCCAAGUUUUAUUCAUAAAGAAAUAGGAUACCUAAAAAUAAUUAGGGGAGGGUUGAAGAUUGAAAUACAGACAGAGUUUCAGGACACAGGCAAGCAACAAAAUACAGAGGAAACUUCAGAAAUGGUAUACAUUUUACAACCAGAGUGUCAGGGAACGUGGGGUUCAAUUCUUUACAGAUCGACCUAAGGUCUGAAAUGUUAAAUGUUAAAGCAAAAUAGUGUCAGGAGUAACAGCACGGUGAAUACACACUAUGGGUUUAGCCUGAAUAAGAACUUUCAAGUAGAAAGUCACUUAAUUACCAUGCACUUAUAUUAAUUUAUCAAUCUCUGGUUUGUUCUGUAACCUCUCCGCAGCGCUAGGGAGCCGGAAUGAAUGAGACACGCACAUGUUGUAGGUUCAAAGAGACUGUCAAAUGCAUUAUGUUUCACAGGUCAAUAUAUGGAAUGCGCACAAAACAUGAUUAUUAUUUUUAUUAUUACUAAUAUAGAGCCAACAAAUUCCACAGUGCUGUACAUGCCCCUUAUCGAGUCAUCCUGUAGUGUACUAAGACAUAUGUGUAGCUUAGAGGAAAUGAAGAGGGGAGAAAGAAUACUAACAGAUGGGCAUUGCCAUACAUGGUAAAGCCUUGCUAUUGAUAGAGACAGGAAAUUGAGGAUGUACAGCCAAUGCCCUCUAUACAUUGAACAAAACUUUACUUGCAAGUCCCGGGGCUUAUCCACUAAAUGUCGCUAAGCACAAAACUGAAAAAAGUCAGAAACCUUAAAUGGGUGAUCACGGUUUAAAUGGACGAGUGGAAGAGCAUCAACAACAAAGUGCCUGAAAUAUUUAGUUAGAUCUCCUCAUUCAUGCAUUACCCAACAGAAUAUUAUACAACGUGUCCCAGAAGUAGACUGCUGCUUUCUAUUUGUUUCUAAUUGCUUACUGCCAUCUAUCCGUACUGAAAAAAUUAUAACAAAUGUGGUAACCAUGGCAUGUAUCAGAUGGUCAUGUCUGUAUAAGGGUAUAACCUGGAAAAAACAGUUUGGAUCAACUACUUCCUGAAACCUUCAUAAGAAUAUCUGUAAAUAUAAGAAGUAUGUAUUAUCAGGAAUGCCAUAUAGUGACUGUUGCUGAGGAAAUGUGAGCAACAUAUGUUGAUUAAACCAAUGUCUCGCAUCACAAAUGGAGGUUGUGUUCCAGUGUUUCGGAUUAAAGGUUGUAAUUUGAUAUGUGAUGUGCAGAAAUCAAGCAGGUGGUCAUAGAAAAAGGACUAGAGCAUUAAAGUGAUCUGCAGGGUGUGACUGCAAUGCCAAUGAAGAUGGCAGCAUAGGUUUGAGCUUCUGCACAACCUUGUGCUACGUUCAAUAAUUUCCCCUGCUUCACCAAUGACAUGGAGAAGACACAUAAACCUACUGGCUCCUUGAAGAGCCAAGGCCCCAAAAAGGGUCUGCUUACUCCAUUCUUGAGAGGUUUCCUCACCUCCAUGCCGGACCCUGCCUCCCAGCUCUCCAAUAUCGGACCACGACCCGGUCCAACCACCUGCCUUGUCGACCAUAGAGGACCUGCAAAAGGCAAAUUACACACUACAGGCCUCGAUCCUGGUGGAUCUGCAUCUUCUAAAUGAGGACUUACAGGGCCUCACUGAUCCUGUUGGCCAGCUGGAGGGGGACAGUGACAAGUGACAACCUGUUGGUAGCUCAGAUGAAUACCCUGACAUAUCAAAAGGAAUAAAUGCAAGUCAUGGCCCUACAUCUGGCUGUUCUGGACAAUAGGGGUUGUCUUUGUAACUUAUGGCUGCAAAGCCUCCUCGAGUUGGAGAACUCCACACCACACCUAAGGGAAUUUGUCCUAGAGGUAUUUAUUGUCCUUCUCAACCACUUCUCUGUGUAUGUGUAACAGUGUGUCUGUGCAUUUAUAUUUGUGUCAGCGUGUAUGUAUUCAUGUGUCUGUGUACCUGUCUGUCUGUGUAUGUGUACCUGUUUGUCAGUGUAUAUGUGCACUUGUCUGUCAGUGUGUAUGUGUACCUCUGUGUAUUUGUGUCAGCGUGUAUGUAUACCUGUGUCUGUGUACUUGUGUGUCUGUGUAUGUGUACCUGUUUUUCAGUGUGUAAGUGUUUAUGUGUAUCUGUGUGUAUGUGUACCUGUUUGUGUAUGUGCACCUAUGUGUGUCUGUAUUUGUGAGUCAGUGUGUAUGUAUACCUGUGUCUGUGUACCCUGUCAUCAGGGUGGUCCCAUCAUUUAGGGUGAAGCCUCCGUGUUCGGAAGUCCCAGAGUGCCCAGUGUCUUUGUUGAUUGCCAUUGCUGAGUGUGCUGAGUUGCCUAUUGUGAACCUUGGGCUGAGACCCCCGAGUCCAGCCCAGAUUUCCGUCCCCGCCACUCAUCUAUCACCCCAUCCCGCCUUCCAUCCCGCCUUCCUCGUUGUCCCCGGUGGUGAACCUCCGUACCAGAGGUUUUGCGUCAUGUUUAAUUUGUCAUGUAACAAGUAGCUUCCCGUGUUGUUACGUCUUCCCCCGCCUCUCCCCUUUGGUCAUGUGCGCAUGGGGUGUGGGUAUGUUCCGUGUGUGUUUGAGUUUUAAUGUAGGUGUCCCACAUGAUUCCCGCUCCCUGUAUAUGUUUUUUGGGGUUAAUAUGCUUAUGGGCCAUUGACUCAUACUCCAGGUUCAGGGUUAUCUGCGCUGUAAGGGCAGUACAACCCGGUAUUUCUGAAGAUUUCCAUGCUCUGGCUAUCAGCAAAUUUGCAGCAAUGAGGACGUGGAAAAGUAGGGUAGAGGCCAGUUUUGAAAUGUUUUCCAGUGGCAUGAAUAGGAGGCAUAAAUCAGGUGUGAGUGUGAUGCCUGUCCCCAAUGCAUCUGAUAAUACGUCUCCCACCAUACGCCAAUAUCCCUCGAUCUUGGGACAAGUCCACCAAAUGUGGUACAUCUUCCCCUUUUUCCUGUAAACACCUCCAGCAGGAGCUGGUAGUGUUCGGGUAGAUUCGCGCUCGUCUGUCCGGUACCAUAUACCAGCAAUACUGGAUUUUUCUCAUCAGUUCUAGGUGUGACGCACAACUUGUCUUUCCCUUGUGAGCUAACAUUGCUUUUUUCCAGCCUGUAAUGUCAAAUGUUUGGUUUAAGUCGCUGUGCCAGUUGCGCAUAAAUUUUUCGUAGCUGCGUGCUGCCGGGAUUGUCAGUACUCGGUAUAUAGAGGCUAGUAAUUUGUUUGGCGUGAUAGGGGCUAGGAAUGCUUUUUCAAAAAAGGCCAUGGUCGGCGAGUGUGAAAAUGGGCGGUUGUGUGUGAGGAGCACUUUUAGUUGGAGGUAUGAGAGCAACGCCCUCGUCGGUAGUUUGAAUUUAUGUUGGAGGUCUGGGAAUGGCAGUAUUCCAUUGUCUCCAAACAGUUGGCCUAUGGAGGCGCAGCCUCCUUUCUGCCAUGGCCUGUAGUCAAAGGAUGGGUUAACAGCAUGCACGCAAGAUAUGGGGGCAGCCUGGAGUUACAUAUGUUUCUCGCCCAUGUUUUGUUUUAGUCUGUCCCAUGUAUGGAGGAGCAGGUCAGUGGUACGCAACAUUUUUGGCAUGUUCGGGCGUUUAUGUUUAGGUAUCCAGAAGAGAAGGUGCAUGCCCUUGGGGCAAGACCAAUGCGACUCAAUUUCAAUCCAUUGCAGGGGGAGGGUCGCUGCAUGGGAGGCUAUAACUGAAGCUAGCAGUACAGCCCUGUAAUACUCUUUAAUUUUUAGCAGUCCAAGUCCGCCAUGGUCUAGGGGUUUAUACAGAAGUUUCGAGGAGACGCGGAUCUUACGGUUUUCCCAUAUAAAUUGGGUUAAUAUGGCCUGAAGUUUUUCUAAAUAGGUUUUGGGGAUAGAUAUUUGUAGCGUUCUGAGCAGGUAUUGAAGUUUAGGGAGGAUGGACAUUUUUACUGCAGCUAUCCUGCCAAGCCAGUUUAGGAAUAUAGAUUCCCAUCCCAUUAGUGUUUCGGUUAUGUCCCUUAAAAGUUUCUCAUGGUUGUAUUUCAGUAGGUCGGUCAGGUUUUUUUGUGAGGUUAAGUCCUAAGAAGGUAAUGUAAUCAGAUCUCCAAUCAAAGGAGAAUGAUGCCCGUAGUGUGUUUAGUAUUUGGUCUGGGAUCCCUAUUCCUAGGGCUUGAGUCUUGGCCACAUUGAGCUUAUAGUAGGAAUGGGUCCCAUAGUCUGUGACUACUGCCAGGAGAUUUGGGAGGGAAAUCUGUGGCUGCGUAAGAGCGAGCAGGAUAUCAUCUGCGGACAGGUUUGCUUUGUAUCCUUUUGGCCAACAGUGGUUCCAUGUACAGAGGUAUGACCAGGGGUUGUAACGCCAAGACGUAGAGCAAGAGGGAAAGUGGGCACCCCUGCCUCGUCCCGUUUGUGAUCAAAAAGGGGUCAGACAGGAACCCUGCGUUGAGCACAUGAGCAGUAGGAUGGCUAUAGAGGGCCCUCACCGCCGACAGGAAUCUUUCAGGUAUUACAAAUAUGAGCAAUAUUGCCUCUAGAAAACUCCAAUGUAGGCGGUCUAAGGCCUUUUCCGUGUCUAAUGAUAUCAGUAACCCACCCUUCCGUGUCGUCUUAUAGCCAUGCAUUAUGUUCAGUACUUUUCUCGUAUUUUCCGAUCCCUGUCUGCCCGCCACGAAUCUCACUUGGUCGUUGUGAAUAAUGUUGGGGAGGAUGUUGCUUAAUCGGGUAGCAUGCAAUUUUGCGAAGAUUUUGGCGUCCGUGUUCAAUAGUGAUAUAGGUCUGAAAUUCUGGGGGAGUGUGGGCGAUUUGCCUUGUUUGGGCAGUGUAACAAUGUGCGCCAAUAGCACGUCUUUGGAUAGGGAUUUGUGGGCAAUUGCGUCUUGGAAUGUGUGUACUAGGUGUGGAGCUAAUGUGCUGCUAAAUUUUUUAUAGCUUGUCCAGACCAUCAGGUCCAGGCGAUUUGCCCAGAGGCAGGGUAAGUUCGGUCUAUUGUGUAGGGGUCAAUUCUGGCAGGUGAAGGCCCUCCACGUAUUUAUUAAUGUCUGAACUUUGGGGUUGGUGUACUUGCCCAUCAUGUUUAAGAUUAUAUAAGUCGGCAUAGUACCGCGCAAACUCGUUGCUAAUAUCCUGUGGCGUGUAGGCCUUAGUGCCGGUUUUUGUCAUUAGGUAUGCAAUUUUCUGGGAUGCUUGGCGUGAUUUCAAUCUGUUUGCGAGCAUUUUGCUUGCUUUAUUACCUUGUGCGUAGUAGGUAGCUUUCAGGCGUUUAAGCUGAAACCCUGUUGAUUGUAAGGCCUGCUGAUGCAUGUUUCUGUUUAGGGCUAGUAUGCGGUCUCUUGGAGAGGCCAAAGGUGACAUUUGGUUUUGCACAUUUAAGGCGUACAGCUCUGUCUGCCACCUCUGCAAUUGGGCUUGGGAGGUUUUACGCAAUGUGGCUGCUCGUUGUAUGAGCAACCAAUUUGUGCGCCUGCCAUAUCGUGGUUGGGGACAUACCAGGAGUGGAGUUCUCUGCAAAGUAAUGUUUGAAGGCCGUUUCUACUUGGCCUGUGAAGGCCGGAUUUUGUAGGAGUGAGUCGUUGAUUCUCCAAGGGCUGCGGUUUUUUGAAAUCACAUAGGUCUUUAACUUCGAGGGUGACAGGGGCAUGGUCUGACCAUGUGAUGUGGUCGAUAUCGCACCUAACAAGUUAGUUUAGAUUCGAUCCCUUCAAAAGGAUCUAGUAUCUAGCCUAGAAUAGGAAUUGUGAAUGGGCGAGUAAAACGUGUAAGACCUUUCCGUCCGCAGGAGAUUCUCCAGGCAUCAUAAUAGUGGUACGUGGAAAAUAGUGUCUGUAACGCUCUGCUUUGGCGUUUGAGGGGCCUGAACCUGUCCCGGAGACGCAAAAGUGUGGUGUCUAAUGUUGGGUCUAGGACAUGGUUUAGGUCCCCACAUAUUAUUGUUAUCCCUUGUUGCAGUUUUGUCAGUGUCUGUAAAAUCUUGUGAAGGAAAUUCCUUUGAUUUGAGCUGGGGGCAUAAAUGUUUGCAAUGGUGUAUGUGAUGUCGUUUAUAAUCCCCACAACUACAGCGUAUUUCCCAUUUGUGUCUAACUUUUGCGUGAGGAUGUGGAAUGUAACCUUCUUACUGAUGAGUAUAGAUGCGCCCUUGGAUUUGGAUGGGGAGGUGGCGUGAAACUGAGUGGGGUAGUCGUUAGUCAGCAUAGGGGUGUAAUCCUUUGUUCUAUAGUGGGUUUCCUGUAAGCACACCACAUCUGGGCUGGUUGCUCGAAGCUCCUGACCCAACAAGUGUCGUUUCACAGGAACGUUCAGUCCCUUGACAUUGUGGGUAUAAAACUUCAUGGUGGGUCAUAUAUGAGCGAUCACAGUUUAUUAGAAUAAUCACUAUGUGUGUUUGGGGUCACCACUUCUCCCAGCUCCAUCGAGCAAAGCGUAUUCAGGUUUAAUUGCCGUGUUGGCACUUUGAGGAAAAGAAAGUUGCGGUUUGGGCACAUGGGCACUUGGGCUCAAAAAGGUUUGCCAUCACUGUCAUAGGGGUACAAACAGUUUGGGACACAGCUCUUCCUCAGCCACUUGUAUCUGAAUUUAUCUUUUGUACUCACUGUGUUGCAUUCGUACUGCUAGGGUAAAUAUUGUGUUAAUUCUUUGGUAACAGUGAGUGAAUACUCAUUACCUUUUAGAUACUGCUGUCACAAUCACUCAUUUUUCUAUGCAUGGUUGAAUUCAGGUCAUGUUUUAGUAUGGUUACAACUGGUAGUACAGGUGCAUAACUGCAUAAUGGUAUGUGCUGUUUUCUCUUUAUAUUUAUGUUUAGAUGACAAAAGCUGGAUCCUUGUUUUUUUACCUUGUUCCUAAAUAUGUUUUUUUAAUCCUUUAUUCCAUAAAUAGUGAUUGUAAAAGAAAAAAAAAAAAUCUUAAGUUCUAUUUCUUAUGUUUAUCUUAAAGGUACAAAAAUGGAUAUGACAGUCCCUUUUUCAAUAUUUGUUCCAGCAAGAGAAAAAACAAAAAAACAGCCCCUUGCAUUAUUUUUCCUUCCAUCAGAAUUUGAAUCUCCUGAACCAUUAGACUCCAGUAUUUAUGUUUACGGUUAUCCUGCCUUAACAUGGUAUAUUCGGUAAGUGACUGUCUUCACAUGGUACUUAGUACAAUUUAAUACCACUUUGUAACUUACAUAAUCAGUGUAUCCUCCAUUAGUUAUUUUUCUUCAACUUUAAAUGGUCUCAUCUUUAACUAAAUGGCUAUUACUGAUUUCCAGGUCUUUUGAUGGUCAUUCCACUCUCAAAGACUGUUUUAAUCAGGCAAAGGUUUUAGCAGAAGAGUUGGUACACCUGAAGAAACCAUUUGAUUAUACAUUCUUUGCGUGCAAUUUCUAUGAUGGUCCAUACCAAGUGAACAAUCGUCAUAACGAAGCGGCAUUCAUGCUCAAGCAUUUAGAGAAAUCUGACUGAUUUAAUACUAUAUUUAGAUGCCAAAAUGUUUAAGGAACUCUGAUGUGGUAAAUGAUUUUCUGAUGUGCACCUUUCAAAAGAUAACAUCACUUUUCUGAAAAUUAUGCAAUUGAAUAAAACUUUGAAAAUCAUCUGUACAUUGUUUUCAUUCUAACAUUGUGUUAGAAAACUAUUCCAAACAUUUGGAUCUACAAAAAGUGUGACUCAGAUUGUCUUACUGAGGGGAUGUCAAUGGCUUAUUGAAUACAUACAUGAGCCAGCGCUCAGCCUCUCUCCCUGAAAAUAAAGUAACAAUUCCCUUCAUAAAGGAGAGAGGAAGUUAUCCCAUCAAUUAUCUUUAAAUAAACUGUAAAUCACAAGAAAUAAUGAACACUGUGUGGCGAAAUUACUCUAAUAGGCUAGACUGAUAUCCCUGAUAGUUUACUAGCCCUUUCUUUCCUCUUAAACCUUCUCUACAAAAGUCUUUAAUUAAAAAGAGUGCCAUAAAUCUCCCUAAAGUGAAUGGUGGGACACCUGACACACUCGCUAACCUGAAGACCAAAUCUCUAUAAUAUAUACACCAAUAUACACCAGCUUUAAUGGUGAACUAUAAAAUUACUAUUGUAUAGUUUAGGGAUAGGCAACCUUCGGCACUCCAGAUGUUGUGGACUACAUCCCCCAUAAUGCUCUUACAUCCAUAAUGCUGGUAAAGCAUCAUGGGAGGUGUAUUCCAAAACAUCUGGAAUGCCGAAGGUUGCCUAUGCCUGGAAUAGUUCAUUAUGUUGUAUCAAUACUGGAAGGCAAAGAGUAAAAAAAGGAUAUUCAAUUAAAAUGUGAUUAUGGUUAAAUCAUGUAUUUAAAAGAUUGUCAGUCAGCCAAAAUAACCGCUAGGAUACAAUAUUAGUUCCAAAAUUUGCCAAGAUGUCCUACUCACAAGUCAGAGGUAAAGAGUAUUUAUUUCCAAAUUAUCUAUAUCUCACUUUCUCGUAAGACAAAUUUUUAUAAAGAAAGAAAGAAGGAAAGAAAAAAGUAUUUAAGCAGCUCUGUCACUUAUUUCCUCUUUGCUCCAGCCUCUGUUAUGGUAUCCUAAGCCCCCCAAAGUCAUCUAAUGCCCUGCUACUGUAACCACUUCCAUUUCUUAAUAUGCUGUCACUCGGGCUUCAUCCGUGGUGCCAUCAUCAUGCAAAUUCCUCUAUGUACCUCACCUCCAUUCGAGGGCAUGCAUGUCAUAUCACAUGCAUGCACAGUUCACCAAUCUUGAGGGGAUAUAUUACCUUUACCAUUGCAAGAGUCACCGCUUGGGUACCAGGUUUUCACCUGGCUGCUGCCAAAUGGGAU